rnacentral:rRNA from 1 species
AUUGAACGCUGGCGGCAUGCUUUACACAUGCAAGUCGAACGGUAACAGGUUAAGCUGACGAGUGGCGAACGGGUGAGUAAUGCAUCGGAACGUGCCCGGUCGUGGGGGAUAACGCAGCGAAAGCUGCGCUAAUACCGCAUACGAUCUGAGGAUGAAAGCGGGGGACCGUAAGGCCUCGCGCGAUCGGAGCGGCCGAUGUCAGAUUAGGUAGUUGGUGGGGUAAAGGCCUACCAAGCCGACGAUCUGUAGCUGGUCUGAGAGGACGACCAGCCACACUGGGACGGAGACACGGCCCAGACUCCUACGGGAGGCAGCAGUGUGGAAUUUUGGACAAUGGGCGCAAGCCUGAUCCAGCAAUGCCGCGUGCAGGAAGAAGGCCUUCGGGUUGUAAACUGCUUUUGUACGGAGCGAAAAGGCUCUCUCUAAUACAGGGGGCUCAUGACGGUACCGUAAGAAUAAGCACCGGCUAACUACGUGCCAGCAGCCGCGGUAACAC